AGAGUUUGAUCCUGGCUCAGGACGAACGCUGGCGGCACGCUUAACACAUGCAAGUCGAACGAGAGAAGAGGAGCUUGCUUUUCUGAUCUAGUGGCGGACGGGAGAGUAACACGUGAGCAAUCUGCCUUUCAGAGGGGGAUACCGAUUGGAAACGAUCGUUAAUACCGCAUAACAUAAUUGAACCGCAUGAUUUGAUUAUCAAAGAUUUAUCGCUGAAAGAUGAGCUCGCGUCUGAUUAGCUAGUUGGUAAGGUAACGGCUUACCAAGGCGACGAUCAGUAGCCGGACUGAGAGGUUGAUCGGCCACAUUGGGACUGAGACACGGCCCAGACUCCUACGGGAGGCAGCAGUGGGGAAUAUUGCACAAUGGAGGAAACUCUGAUGCAGCGAUGCCGCGUGAGGGAAGAAGGUUUUAGGAUUGUAAACCUCUGUCUUCAGGGACGAAAAAAGACGGUACCUGAGGAGGAAGCUCCGGCUAACUACGUGCCAGCAGCCGCGGUAAUACGUAGGGAGCGAGCGUUGUCCGGAAUUACUGGGUGUAAAGGGAGCGUAGGCGGGAUCGCAAGUCAGAUGUGAAAACUAUGGGCUUAACCCAUAAACUGCAUUUGAAACUGUGGUUCUUGAGUGAAGUAGAGGUAAGCGGAAUUCCUAGUGUAGCGGUGAAAUGCGUAGAUAUUAGGAGGAACAUCAGUGGCGAAGGCGGCUUACUGGGCUUUAACUGACGCUGAGGCUCGAAAGCGUGGGGAGCAAACAGGAUUAGAUACCCUGGUAGUCCACGCCGUAAACGAUGAUUACUAGGUGUGGGGGGACUGACCCCUUCCGUGCCGCAGCAAACGCAAUAAGUAAUCCACCUGGGGAGUACGACCGCAAGGUUGAAACUCAAAGGAAUUGACGGGGGCCCGCACAAGCAGUGGAGUAUGUGGAUUAAUUCGAAGCAACGCGAAGAACCUUACCAGGUCUUGACAUCGUAUGCAUAGCUCAGAGAUGAGUGAAAUCUCUUCGGAGACAUAUAGACAGGUGGUGCAUGGUUGUCGUCAGCUCGUGUCGUGAGAUGUUGGGUUAAGUCCCGCAACGAGCGCAACCCUUACUGUUAGUUGCUACGCAAGAGCACUCUAGCAGGACUGCCGUUGACAAAACGGAGGAAGGUGGGGAUGACGUCAAAUCAUCAUGCCCCUUAUGACCUGGGCCUCACACGUACUACAAUGGCUGUCAACAGAGGGAAGCAAAGCCGCGAGGUGGAGCGAACCCCUAAAAGCAGUCUUAGUUCGGAUUGUAGGCUGCAACCCGCCUACAUGAAGUCGGAAUUGCUAGUAAUCGCAGAUCAGCAUGCUGCGGUGAAUACGUUCCCGGGCCUUGUACACACCGCCCGUCACGCCAUGGGAGUCGGUAACACCCGAAGCCUGUAGUCUAACCGCAAGGAGGACGCAGUCGAAGGUGGGAUUGAUGACUGGGGUGAAGUCGUAACAAGGUA
rnacentral:rRNA from 1 species